CUCAUUGAUUUGUUAGCGUUUAAUUCUUAGUUCUUAGGUUAAAUCUUAGUUCUUAGGAAUGGUGCAUAAACCCACCAUUAAAUGUAUACCAUAGAGUAAUAAACUUAUUGCUCUGAGUCUUAUAUAAAGUAUAUACAUAUACAUUACAUCAUACCACAUCACGUUGUUAUAAAGGAUAAAAGGAACGGAAAUAAACAUUUAAUUGUGCUCGAUCCCUAACGACCCGAAUACAAGAGAGAUGGAAGUUUAGUGUCGCCAAUCACAAUCGAGCUAACUUCGGCUAGCUCGAAUUCAUAGCCGUGCAGAAUCCUGAUUUGAUCGUUGAAUGUUUCAUCAGGAAUCCUUUUUUCAUAACUUCACAAUAACCUAAUCAAUGAACUGAAGAAAACAAUGACCUUUUUAAUACAUCACCCUAUUUCCUGAAGAAGUAAAAAGGAGAAAAGUAUGGGUUCAGUUUGCGAAUAAACUUGUCUUUGUCCUUGAAAUUAAUAUGUUUCUUAUGCUCAUCAUUUUUCUGAAGAUUAUUCACCAUGUGCACCUUUUUCUGAACGAAUUUGUUUUUUUAUAUUCAACUGAAUUUAAAUGCUGCAAAUGUAAUAUGCACCCCCACAAAGAAUAUUAUCGUUUUAAUAUUACACUUACUAACCCCACUAUGAACAAAGUGAUUCUCAACAAGUGAAUUUGAAGAAGUAUUAACAAAUGCUUUAUGCUACUGCUCCUUUCUGAACUGCGCUAAGCGCAUGCAAAACCUGUUUGCAGUUCUUGGGAUCAGUUGAAUGUUCAUUAGUUUAUCACAUUUUAAUCAACGAUCAUUGUAAAUUGUUAUUUAAUAUAAAAUUGAUUAUUA